rnacentral:rRNA from 1 species
GACGAACGCUGGCGGCGUGCCUAAUACAUGCAAGUUGAGCGCUGAAGGUUGGUACUUGUACCGACUGGAUGAGCAGCGAACGGGUGAGUAACGCGUGGGGAAUCUGCCUUUGAGCGGGGGACAACAUUUGGAAACGAAUGCUAAUACCGCAUAAAAACUUUAAACACAAGUUUUAAGUUUGAAAGAUGCAAUUGCAUCACUCAAAGAUGAUCCCGCGUUGUAUUAGCUAGUUGGUGAGGUAAAGGCUCACCAAGGCGAUGAUACAUAGCCGACCUGAGAGGGUGAUCGGCCACAUUGGGACUGAGACCCGGCCCAAACUCCUACGGGAGGCAGCAGUAGGGAAUCUUCGGCAAUGGACGAAAGUCUGAACGAGCAACGCCGCGUGAGUGAAGAAGGUUUUCGGAUCGGAAAACUCUGUUGGUAGAGAAGAACGUUGGUGAGAGUGGAAAGCUCAUCAAGUGACGGUAACUACACAGAAAGGGACGGCUAACUACGUG